rnacentral:rRNA from 1 species
UACCAGCACCCCGAGUGGUCGGGACGAUUAUUGGGCCUAAAGCAUCCGUAGCCGGUUCUACAAGUCUUCCGUUAAAUCCACCUGCUCAACAGUUGGGCUGCGGAGGAUACUAUAGAGCUAGGAGGCGGGAGAGGCAAGCGGUACUUAGUGGGUAGGGGUAAAAUCCGUUGAUCCAUUGAAGACCACCAGUGGCGAAGGCGGCUUGCCAGAACGCACUCGACAGUGAGGGAUGAAAGCUGGGGGAGCAAACCGG